rnacentral:rRNA from 1 species
GAUGAACGCUGGCGGCGUGUUUAACACAUGCAAGUCGAGCGAGAAUCCUGCAGAACAACUCUUCGGAUGAGUUCAGCAGGAGGAAAGCGGCGGACGGGUGAGUAACGCGUAGACAACCUGCCCUUUGCAGAGGGAUAGCCUCGGGAAACCGGGAUUAAAACCUCAUAAAGCCAAAUGGUGACAUCAUCAAAUGGCCAAAGAUUUAUCGGCAAGGGAUGGACCUGCGUCUGAUUAGUUAGUUGGUGGGGUAACGGCCUACCAAGGCGACGAUCAGUAGCCGACCUGAGAGGGUGAUCGGCCACAUUGGAACUGAGACACGGUCCAAACUCCUACGGGAGGCAGCAGUGGAGAAUCUUGCACAAUGGGCGAAAGCCUGAUGCAGCAACGCCGCGUGAAGGAUGAAGGCCCUUGGGUCGUAAACUUCUGUUCUAAGGGAAGAUAAUGACGGUACCUUAGGAGCAAGUCCCGGCUAACUACGUG